AGUCAAUGCUGUUACUCAGUUAAAGCCUUUUUCUGCUCCUACUAUUGACUCAUAAAGUGCAUGCUUUUAGUUUGAUUCUCUGGUCUUGAUUAUGAUCAGCAUUCUUAUGAUAAGGAUAUUUGAGCAUUUUUGUUUGGUUUUUCCUUGAUGGGUUGAAUGAAUCUCCUUCUUUUGGUUAGUUAUAUUGAGAUAAAUCAUUUUACAGGUGAAGGAAGGAGGCGAUGAUCACAAGGUGAAUGAAACUGUCAGUGUUGUGACCAACAAAACUACAGAGAUUGGACAGAGGACGUGGGGCAUUAUGAAAGGAGUAAUGGCGAUAGCUUCCCAGAAGGUUGAGGAGUAUACUAAAGAUGGCGUGACCUGGAACAAUGAAAACUGGCAACGAAACGACAGUGAGAGAAAUGGAUAUUAUCAGGAGUUUAAUCAAGAGAGUAAAGGAUGGAAUGCUUCUUCUGGAGGGCAGUCUUCUUCAAGUGGAAAUGCCAAAACCUUUAGCUCGAGCUCUUGGGACGAUUGGGACCACAAAGAGAAUAAGAAGGAAGAAACAACAAAGGGAGGCACAUCUGGUAACAAUGACAGUUGGGCUGGAUGGGAUGAUGCGAAGGACGAUGGAUUUGAUAACUGGUAUCAGAGUGCCCCAAAUAAGGGAACUGCUGGUCACAAUGGGAAAUCAGAUGCCACAUGGACAGAAGGAGGCUUCCUUUAAGCUACUCAUCCGAUGGCGAGUAAGACGGAGAUUUAUUCAAUAGAAGGUAUCAAACAGCUGCCGAUAAUGGUUACUAAACUUUUUUUUAGGUUUUGCGUCAAUGUUUUCCUGUGAAAUUUAUGGACAGCUUUGGCAUGUUCCGAAGUAGUUUAUGUAUGUAUAACUUUCAUCAAAGGUUGAGAGAAGACUGAUUUUUGUGAGUACAAUAUCAUUAUUUGUAACUGGAAUUUUUUUAAAGCAAUUCAACGGUCAUGUUGACUUUAGUCGGA